rnacentral:rRNA from 1 species
GACGAACGCUGGCGGCGUGCUUAACACAUGCAAGUCGAACGGAAAGGCCCCUUUGGGGGUACUCGAGUGGCGCACGGGUGAGUAACACGUGAGUAACCUGCCCUUGACUUCGGGAUAACUUCAGGAAACUGGGGCUAAUACCGGAUAGGAAUCCUUGCUGCAUGGUGGGGGUUGGAAAGCUUCGGCGGUUUUGGAUGGACUCGCGGCUUAUCAGCUUGUUGGUGGGGUAGUGGCUUACCAAGGCUUUGACGGGUAGCCGGCCUGAGAGGGCGACCGGCCACAUUGGGACUGAGAUACGGCCCAGACGCCUACGGGAGGCAGCAGUGGGGAAGAUUGCACAAGGGGCGGGAGCCUGAUGCAGCAACGCCGCGUGCGGGAGGACGGCCUUCGGGUUGUAAACCGCUUUCAGCAGGGGCGAAGCUUGUGGUGACGGUACCUGCAGAAGAAGCACCGGCUAACUACGUG